rnacentral:rRNA from 1 species
GACGAACGCUUUCUUCUUUCUUAACACAUGCAAGUCGAACGGUGAAGGGGUCUGCUUUUGUGGGCCCUGGAUGAGUGGCGAACGGGUGAGUAACACGUGAGUAACCUGCCCCCUUCUUCCGGAUAACCGCAUGAAAGUGUGGCUAAUACGGGAUAUUCUGGGUCUGUCGCAUGAUGGGUCUGGGAAAGAUUGCGCCUUUGGGUGUUUUUGGUGGGGGAUGGGCUCGCGGCCUAUCAGCUUGUUGGUGGUGUUCUGGCCUACCAAGGCGGUGACGGGUAGCCGGCCUGAGAGGGUGGACGGUCACACUGGGACUGAGACACGGCCCAGACUCCUACGGGAGGCAGCAGUGGGGAAUAUUGCACAAUGGGCGCAAGCCUGAUGCAGCGACGCCGCGUGAGGGAUGGAGGCCUUCGAGUUGUAAACCUCUGUCGCCAGUGAAGCAGGCCUGCUCCUUGUGGGUGGGUUGACGGUAGCUGGAUAAGAAGCGCCGGCUAACUACGGG